UACGUAGGGUGCAAGCGUUGUCCGGAAUUAUUGGGCGUAAAGAGCUCGUAGGCGGUCUGUCGCGUCGGCUGUGAAAACCUGGGGCUUAACUCCGGGCUUGCAGCCGAUACGGGCAGACUAGAGUUCGGCAGGGGAGACUGGAAUUCCUGGUGUAGCGGUGAAAUGCGCAGAUAUCAGGAGGAACACCGGUGGCGAAGGCGGGUCUCUGGGCCGUAACUGACGCUGAGGAGCGAAAGCAUGGGGAGCGAACAGG
rnacentral:rRNA from 1 species